AGGACGAACGCUGGCGGCGUGCUUAACACAUGCAAGUCGAACGAGGUCCAUGGUGUAGCAAUACACCGGAAGAUCUAGUGGCGAACGGGUGCGUAACACGUGAGGAACUUGUCCCGGUCUCUGGGAUAACAGUUGGAAACGACUGCUAAUACCGGAUGACGUCGGAGCGUCGCAUGGCGCGCUGACGAAAGGGUUACUGGAUCGGGAGAGCCUCGCGGCCUAUCAGCUUGUUGGUGGGGUAACGGCCUACCAAGGCAUCGACGGGUAGCUGGUCUGAGAGGAUGAUCAGCCACACUGGGACUGAGACACGGCCCAGACUCCUACGGGAGGCAGCAGUGGGGAAUCUUGCGCAAUGGGCGAAAGCCUGACGCAGCAACGCCGCGUGCGGGAAGAAGGCUCUCGGGUUGUAAACCGCUUUCAGCAGGAACGAAAAUGACGGUACUUGCAGAAGAAGGUGCGGCCAACUACGUGCCAGCAGCCGCGGUGACACGUAGGCACCAAGCGUUGUCCGGAUUUAUUGGGCGUAAAGCGCUCGUAGGCGGUUCGGUAAGUCAGGUGUGAAAACUUUGGGCUUAACCCAAAGCCUGCAUCUGAUACUGCCGUGACUAGAGUUCGGUAGGGGAGUGGGGAAUUCCUAGUGUAGCGGUGAAAUGCGCAGAUAUUAGGAGGAACACCGGUGGCGAAGGCGCCACUCUGGGCCGAUACUGACGCUGAGGAGCGAAAGCGUGGGUAGCAAACAGGAUUAGAUACCCUGGUAGUCCACGCCGUAAACGUUGGGCACUAGGUGUGGGUUUCAACCAACGAAAUCCGCGCCGUCGCUAACGCAUUAAGUGCCCCGCCUGGGGAGUACGGCCGCAAGGUUAAAACUC
rnacentral:rRNA from 1 species